rnacentral:tRNA from 1 species
UCCCUGGCAGUCCAGUGGUUAGGACUCCUUACUUUCAUUGCUGAGGGCAUGGGUUCAAUCCCUGGUCAACCCUGGUCAGGGAA